GUAGGCCUGCGACGCGCGUGUUGGUGCGAUGAUCUUUUGAACCAACACUGGAUCUCUGGGGGCCCGAGUCAGACGGCUGGUGCGCAUGGCCCGCCCCGCAUCUUGAAUCCCGACGCUCUGAGAUCGGCAUUCAGGAUGCGGGACGGGAAAGCCUAAAGGCCGGCGCAGGGCGCCCAUCUUAUACAGAGGUUCAGGAUCUAGCGCCCACGGCGAAGCGGACCUCUC
rnacentral:other from 1 species